rnacentral:lncRNA from 1 species
UGACCUGAACCAAAAUGAAGAGUGGGGACACUCAACCAGCUGAACUACCCUGGCACCCCUGUAGCUUGUGGCUUGUAAGACAGCUUUUCCGAGAACUGAUGACUCUUAAACAGGUACUUGCAAAGGUAAAAACAAUGUCACGGAGAGGCAGACAAGCUAGUAGAGGUGUUCAAGGCAGAAUCUGGGGCUAGACUGCUGUAUCAGACGCCCAGCUCUGCCCCUUCCUGGCUGUGCGGUCUUGGGAACAUCGCUUGAAAGUCAUCAUCUGGAACAAAGACACCAACUAUUGUUCCCCCACAGCAUGGCUGAGAAAUGACCAACAUAUAUAAAAC